UCGAAUGGCUCAUUAUAUCAGUUAUAGUUUAUUUGAUAAUAAUUUUUUACUAAUUGGAUAACCGUAGUAAUUCUAGAGCUAAUACAUGCAUUAAAAUCCUAACUAUAUUUAUAUAGAAAGGAUGUAUUUAUUAGAUGAAAAACCAAUAUUAAAAAAAUAAUGGUGAAUCAUAAUAACUUAUCGAAUCGUAUGGUUGUAAAAUACUAACGAUAAAUCAUUCAAGUUUCUGCCCUAUCAGCUUUCGAUGGUAGUGUAUUGGACUACCAUGGCAGUAACGGGUAACGAAGAA
rnacentral:rRNA from 1 species